rnacentral:piRNA from 1 species
UGAACAGCCUCUUCCUGCGCAAGGACA